rnacentral:rRNA from 1 species
UACGUAGGGUGCGAGCGUUAAUCGGAAUUACUGGGCGUAAAGCGUGCGCAGGCGGUUAUUUAAGUCAGGGGUGAAAGCCCUGGGCUUAACCUAGGAAUUGCGCUCGAAACUACGUGGCUGGAGUGUGGCAGAGGAAGGUGGAAUUCCACGUGUAGCGGUGAAAUGCGUAGAGAUGUGGAGGAACACCGAUGGCGAAGGCAGCCUUCUGGGCCAACACUGACGCUCAUGCACGAAAGCGUGGGGAGCAAACAGG